rnacentral:rRNA from 1 species
GAUGAACGCUAGCGGCAGGCCUAACACAUACAAGUCGAGGGAGAAGCCCUUUCGGGGGCAGAAACCGGCGCACGGGUGCGUAACGCGUAUGCAACCUACCUUUCACAGGGGGAUAGCCCGAAGAAAUUUGGAUUAAUACCCCAUAAUAUUAUUGGAUGGCAUCAUUUGAUAAUUAAAACUGCGGUGGUGAAAGAUGGGCAUGCGUCCUAUUAGCUAGUUGGAGUGGUAACGGCACCCCAAGGCUACGAUAGGUAGGGGUCCUGAGAGGGAGAUCCCCCACACUGGUACUGAGACAGGGACCAGACUCCUACGGGAGGCAGCAGUGAGGAAUAUUGGUCAAUGGUCGGAAGACUGAACCAGCCAUGCCGCGUGCAGGAAGAAUGCCUUAUGGGUUGUAAACUGCUUUUAUAUGGGAAGAAUAAGGCGUACGUGUACGUUGAUGACGGUACCAUAUGAAUAAGCAUCGGCUAACUCCGUG